AAACACACCCUAACCUAACCUAACCUAAGAAGCGAUACAAAGCGGCACAGGUCAAAAGAAGAAGAAGAAGAAGAAGAAGACCCAGCCAGCCUGGCGGACACGUGCUGGACCCAUCAGCGUGGACAACCUGGCACACCCCCGGCCAAUACGCAGACCACACUGACCCACCUCCGACAGUCCUCCAACAGACACUGGACCACCAGACUAACGGCUGACCUCAGAAAGCUCACGGUACAGAUACUCCCCCGCCCAGCACCACUCCCCCAGCCGUCCCCUGGACACACCCGCCUGAGGACUGGCCACACCCGCCUCACCUGCACAGAUUGAACAUAGUCCAUACUACCCAUGGUGCCCCCCACACACCAGAACAUCUCCUCCACUGCCCAAGAUUCCACUCACCAACCUCAAGGCAUCCCUAACCAGCCUCCGCAUUUACAGGCCAACCCUAGAGGACCUGCUGGGCAGCGACACCCUCAGCCCCAACACAGCCUUCCAAGUGUACGCAAACCUUCCUGCAGAAGUCGGGGCAGCAACUCGACAGGAUCUAACCCCACUCUGGUGACAGAACGACAAACCAACUACCACUGAAGGGGCUGUGGAGGCUGUGGCCCCACAGCCCCAUAAAACACCCAAGAAGAAGAAGAAGGUGAUGCCCCAGAGGAUAUGGACCCCGCCAGCCACCCAGUGCCCCCUCCCUCCCUCCUCCUACUGGUGAUGGGAGAAGACAGGAGGAUGAGGAGGAGAGAAGAAGAAGAAGGAGGAGGAGGAGGAGGAGGAGUGCCUGAUCCAGCAAGGUGAUUCACUGUCCCCUGUCACUGUCCGUCCACCCUCAGGGAAGCCCUUUGAGAUCCAGGAUGUGUGAAGGAGAAGAGGAUGAUGACAGCUCUGAGUCAGCCAUGACAGAGGAAGCCCCAGGACUGCUCUGGAGACUAAGGCAAGAAAGAAGGAAGCCACCCAGAUUAACCUCUCCCUCUUGGCUCUGGUGGACCUCAAGGGCAGCCACGUCCCCUACAGUGACUCCAAGCUCACCAGGGCAAGACAGAGACAGAAGUUGAUAUUCUCAGACACUUCCGCCUCUCACGUCAGCUAUUUCCAAAGGCCGAAAAGGAUAUCAAUCACAUUCUAAAGAAGCCCACAAUGCCAACGAUGAUGGCGAACAGGACCCCAAAUACUAUGCCGGUAAUAGCUCCUGCAGAGAGUCCCUCAGGAGAGGUGGUGGUGGUGGGGGUGACACUGGUGGUGGAGGCUGUGGCAAGUCUCUCACAGCGAUUGCCAGUGUAUUCGCUUGGACAACUGGAAGAAAGGCAUUACUUCACAGGAUCUUAAAGAUGCUGGACCAUAUCCACUUUGACAAUAAUGAAAAACUCCAAGUUGGACGCUCUCCUUUCCCAUCCGUUGCACAAAGUCCACCGUUCUGGCAGUAGCUGUCAGGGCAGCUUCCACACAGAGAUUCAUCAGCACUGUAUGUGGAACACUCAGUAAUCCCGUCACACUCAUAGUCCACUCUCAUGCAUGGGUGGCCAGACAUGAAUGGGUCUCCACAGUAAAAGAAGCCAACAUCACACUGGGCAUUGUCUGUGGGUGAAAAUGAGGUACAGUCAAGUGUGGAAGCAACUUGAUACAACUUGGUAUGUGUAGACAUGGAAUUUGCCUUUUAUUUGACUUUUGGCAAGUCAAAUAAAAGGCAAGGUGGUGCAGGACAUGGCAAAUGAAUAGCCUGCAGCUCUGUUUGGAGGCAACUUAAUCCCCCCCAUCACCGGCAGGCCACUUGCUGCUCAUUUGCCUGGCUCAACAUGGCUCAACAUGUGGUUGGUGGUGGCAACCUCUCUAGCUCACUUGCAGGGCAGCCAUUGUGUAGAUCACUUGCAUUUUACAUAUUGCUAUUUGUUGUGUUCAAUGUUUUCAAAAAUUCGUGCAAGGGGGUUUGAGAAAUGUAGUUGUAUGCGCCAUUUGUUUUGGAAAACUUUUGUUGGCCUACAAAACAGUAAAAUUUGAUACACUUG